rnacentral:rRNA from 1 species
GAUAAACGCUGGCGGUGUGCUUUAUGCAUGCAAGUCGAACGAGCCACUUCGGUGGCUAGUGGCGGACGGGUGAGUAACACGUAAGCAACCUGCCCUUAAGUGGGGAAUAACUCUGAGAAAUCGGAGCUAAUACCGCAGUGGUCCUUCUCAUAAUGGGGAAGGACUAAAGCCUUCGGGCGCUUGAGGAGGGGCUUGCGCACGAUUAGCUAGUUGGUGAGGUAACGGCCUACCAAGGCGACGAUCGUUAGUUGGUUUGAGAGGACGACCAGCCACACUGGGACUGAGACACGGCCCAGACUCCUACGGGAGGCAGCAGCAAGGAAUAUUGGACAAUGGGCGAAAGCCUGAUCCAGCGACACCGCGUGGGGGAAGAAGGCCCUCGGGUUGUAAACCCCUUUUCCCGGGGAAGAAUAAUGACGGUACCCGGGGAAUAAGCCCCGGCUAACUACGUGCCAGCAGCCGCGGUAAUACGUAGGGGGCGAGCGUUAUCCGGAUUUACUGGGCGUAAAGCGGGCGUAGGCGGCCUGUCAAGUCAGAUGUGAAAUCUCCCGGCUUAACUGGGAGGGUGCAUUCGAUACUGAUGGGCUAGAGUGCAGCAGAGGAAGGUGGAAUUCCCGGUGUAGUGGUGAAAUGCGUAGAUAUCGGGAAGAACACUAGUGGCGAAGGCGGCCUUCUGGGCUGUAACUGACGCUGAGGUCCGAAGGCGUGGGUAGCAAACAGGAUUAGAUACCCUGGUAGUCCACGCAGUAAACGAUGGAUACUAGGUAUAGGGAGUAUCGACUCUCUCUGUGCCGUAGCUAACGCUUUAAGUAUCCCGCCUGGGGACACGGUCGCAAGACU